rnacentral:lncRNA from 1 species
CGCCUUUUGGGACGAAAAACAACUGUAUCAAAGUUUGGAUUUUUACUACUUGGGUCAGUUGUUUCUUGAAGUUCAUUCAAAUGGGGUGUUGUUGGUGUUGGUUGUAACAUUGACGAGGAUGUUGUUGUUGUUGUGUUGUUAUUCUCUGUUUGGUUGUCUAGAAAAAUGAAAGAUCCAUGCUUUUGUUGUUCUUUAGUGACAAAAUUGAAAUCUUCAUAGACAAAGUUGGUUGAUAGAAAGUUGAAGUUGUAACAGUCUUUGAUUCCAUAACUAAAAGGGUCUUGUGUUUGUGGAUAUACCACUGUUUCUAGUGCCAUGGUUCUCUCUCUAUCUCUUUCUCCUUCAGGUAAACACAUAACAAUCAAUUUUUUUUUUAUUUUUUAGCCUUUAAGGGGAACUGGAAGAUGAUGAACAAACUUUAAAGUGUUUUGGGCUUAUAAAGGCCUUUUCAACAAUCGACACAUUUGCCCCUCAAAUUCAAUUCAUUAAUAUAAAUAUUCUAUCUUUUCUUUUAACAGUCCUUUUUCUAAAAUCUUGUUAACAUUUAUUUAUUGUUUUUAAAGUUCAAUGUACUAUUAACUACUAUUUUGUCAAUAAUACCUUAGUUAUUUUUCCAAAGAGGAAAGAUGGAACGAGACAAUAAAUUGUUAAGAGUACUAUACAAAUGAUUUCAUCAAAAUUCAAUAUUUUCUAAAAUAUAUAAAUAACCUUAAAACAACGAUUGAAAAAGAAUGAAAGGAGUAUCACUUUCACCUUUUGGGACGAAAAACAACUGUAUCAAAGUUUGGAUUUUUACUACUUGGGUCAGUUGUUUCUUGAAGUUCAUUCAAAUGGGGUGUUGUUGGUGUUGGUUGUAACAUUGACGAGGAUGUUGUUGUUGUUGUGUUGUUAUUCUCUGUUUGGUUGUCUAGAAAAAUGAAAGAUCCAUGCUUUUGUUGUUCUUUAGUGACAAAAUUGAAAUCUUCAUAGACAAAGUUGGUUGAUAGAAAGUUGAAGUUGUAACAGUCUUUGAUUCCAUAACUAAAAGGGUCUUGUGUUUGUGGAUAUACCACUGUUUCUAGUGCCAUGGUUCUCUCUCUAUCUCUUUCUCCUUCAGGUAAACACAUAACAAUCAAUUUUUUUUUUAUUUUUUAGCCUUUAAGGGGAACUGGAAGAUGAUGAACAAACUUUAAAGUGUUUUGGGCUUAUAAAGGCCUUUUCAACAAUCGACACAUUUGCCCCUCAAAUUCAAUUCAUUAAUAUAAAUAUUCUAUCUUUUCUUUUAACAGUCCUUUUUCUAAAAUCUUGUUAACAUUUAUUUAUUGUUUUUAAAGUUCAAUGUACUAUUAACUACUAUUUUGUCAAUAAUACCUUAGUUAUUU